rnacentral:rRNA from 1 species
UACGAAGGGUGCAAGCGUUACUCGGAAUUACUGGGCAUAAAGCGUGCGUAGGUGGUUCGUUAAGUCUGAUGUGAAAGCCCUGGGCUCAACCUGGGAAUGGCAUUGGAUACUGGCGAUCUAGAGUGCGGUAGAGGGCAGUGGAAUUCCCGGUGUAGCAGUGAAAUGCGUAGAGAUCGGGAGGAACAUCUGUGGCGAAGGCGACUGCCUGGACCAGCACUGACACUGAGGCACGAAAGCGUGGGGAGCAAACAGG